AUUGAACGCUGGCGGCAGGCCUAACACAUGCAAGUCGAGCGAGCGGCGGACGGGUGAGUAAUGUAUGGGGACUGCCCGAUAGAGGGGGAUAACUACUGGAAACGGUAGCUAAUACCGCAUACUAUCGGAUAACCCAUAUGGGAUUAGCUAGUAGGUGAGGUAAUGGCUCAACUAGGCGACGAUCCCUAGCUGGUCUGAGCGGCUGAUCAGCCACACGGGAACGGAGACACGCCCCAGACUCCUAGGGAGGAAGCAGUGGGGAAUAUUGCACACUGGGCGCAAGCCGGAUGCAGCCAUGCCGCGUGUAUGAAGAAGGCCCUAGGGUUGUAAAGUACUUUCAGUCGGGAGGCGUUACCGACAGAAGAAGCACCGGCUAACUCCGUGCCAGCAGCCGCGGUAAUUC
rnacentral:rRNA from 1 species